CACACUUUCUCACUAUGCUCUUGUUUCUCUGGUUUGCAUUCUCUUGCCUUUCACCUUAAGCCUCCUCCUCUGCCUUCCCUUUCAGAUCCUGAAUCCAGAGUCUCCAAUUUGGCAUUGGUUUUGGCUCACUCAUAAGAUCCUGGCUCCCGUGUCCCUCUCCCAAGGAGGAAAGUGCACAGCUGACUGACACGCUGCACUUAGGCCUGAUGCCCCAUGUUUCUGCUGGGUUUAUAAGAGAGGACUGGAGGAAAAGAAUCUUGAUCUGCAGAGUGCCCUGCGUGUGUCCAGUAUUCGACGACCUGGAAGAUGGAUGAGCUGGGAAUCUGAGCGAGAGUAAGACUUUAAAGAAUGUUCUCAAUGUGAUUGAGGCCGAAGAGAAGCAGAUUUCUCACCCCCAUGAGGUAGGGUUCCUUUCUAAUCCCUCUACCACGCACUGUUCUUCAGACCCUAUC
rnacentral:lncRNA from 1 species